UGGUGGAUCGAUUUGUCUGAUUAAUUUCGUUAACGAACGAGACCUCGACCUACUAAAUAGUACAGUUCAGGACUCGCUCCUGAGUAUGCGACUUCUUAGAGGGACUGUCGGAUAGGAACCGAAGGAAGUUCGAGGCAAUAACA
rnacentral:rRNA from 1 species